CGUAAUUCCUCAACUUCCCCUCCCAUAUUUCCACAACACACCUGCACAAAUGCACAAAUAACACUAUAAAGACAACAUCAUUCUACAUAUAGGAGGGGAUACAACAUACACGAGGGGCAGAGAACAAUUUAAGAAAAGAAAAGAAAACACAGAAAACUACAAAAAAAAAAAAAAAAAAAAAAAAAAAAAAAAAAAAAAAAAAAAAAAAAGUC
rnacentral:lncRNA from 1 species